GUAAAAAAAAAAAACUCUAUUAAACUUUUAAUAAAUUGCCACUGCAAAGGUGUUAUUUUUGUUUCGGUCAUCUAAAAAUAAUGUACAUUCCAGGAAACAACUUAUUGACUUGGGUACUUGAUAAGAUAUUAAUAUGAAAGAUGAAAGGUCCAAUGAAAAUUUCAUCAGUCUUCAGUUAUAAAAUACUUAAUGUCUAUACUUUCUCAAAGAAAAAAAUUUGAAGAAAAAAUAUUGGUUACUUCAUGACUUGUUCUUAAGCAAUUGAAGCAAAAAAAGAAAACUUUUAUAUUAAGUGAGCUUUUUUCACAUAUUUAACUAUGUGACAGAAAUAAUAAAAAUAUUUUGGAAUAAUAAAUGCAUUCUUAAAGUCUG
rnacentral:lncRNA from 1 species